rnacentral:rRNA from 1 species
CCUACGGGAGGCAGCAGUAAGGAAUAUUGGUCAAUGGACGCAAGUCUGAACCAGCCAUGCCGCGUGAAGGAUGAAGGCCCUCUGGGUUGUAAACUUCUUUUAUAGGGGACGAAAAAAGGGAAUUCUUUCUCACUUGACGGUACCCUAGGAAUAAGCACCGGCUAACUCCGUGCCAGCAGCCGCGGUAAUACGGAGGGUGCAAGCGUUAUCCGGAUUCACUGGGUUUAAAGGGUGCGUAGGUGGGCAUUUAAGUCAGUGGUGAAAUCUCCGGGCUUAACCCGGAAACUGCCAUUGAUACUAUUUGUCUUGAAUAUUGUGGAGGUAAGCGGAAUAUGUCAUGUAGCGGUGAAAUGCUUAGAUAUGACAUAGAACACCCAUUGCGAAGGCAGCUUACUACGCAAAUAUUGACACUGAGGCACGAAAGCGUGGGGAUCAAACAGGAUUAGAUACCCUGGUAGUCCACGCCCUAAACGAUGGAUACUCGACAUCAGCGAUACACAGUUGGUGUCUGAGNGAAGANAUAUAUCCACCNGGAGACGACGCAGUAGAACGACAANAGAGUAGAGCGNGAGAGNGCGAGACGACGACGAGGAGAGG